GGAUAUAGCUCAGUGGUAGAGUGUGUGCUUAGCAUGCACGAGAUCCUGGUUUAAUCCCUGGUACCUCCA
rnacentral:tRNA from 1 species